rnacentral:lncRNA from 1 species
UCCAAACAAACAGCAGGGAGAGAAUAGGUUUCUGUGCUUUUUCUCAGGGGCAUAUAGUUUGCUCUUGACUUGACAAGUUUCUAAAUUUAUCCACGGUAAACACAAGCAAUGAGAACAAAUGCUUACAGCUGCAGAUGCACCUAAGAAGGAUAGAGUAUUGAAUUUUUUUUUGAAUUCUCAAUAACAUACUAAUAGAUAACUUCCUGCCUUAAUGUUCUGCCAAAUAUGUUUCUCUACUCUCAGAGCAACUCCAAUGCAAUGCUAUACUUGGUUCUAUUGCUAUAUUAUAGCAUCAAAAGUAAAAAAACUCAACUCCAAAGGGGUGCUAUAUUUGGAUGCAUCCAUGCAUAGAUGCAUCCUUGGUUCUAUAUUUGAAACCAAGGAUGGAUCCAUCCAUGUUGCCACAUCACCAAUAAAUAGAAAUUGGAAACUAGUUAAUGAGUUAAUGAGUUAGGUAAAAGUUAAAGAGUUGGUUUUAUAUAGAAAUUAGGUAAAAGUUAAUAAGUUGGUUAAAUUUGAAACAAGUUAUAGAACUUAGCAUCGGAGUGCAAGUUUUAUUAUAGCACCAAAACACACUUUUUGGUGCUAUAUUAUAGCAAUAGCAAUAGAUAUAUAGCAUCUAGCAUUGGACUUGCUCUCAAUGACGGAAUGCUUUAAUAACUUUCAAACCUAAUAGGCUAAUACCAGUAAUAUAGCUAGACUUUGUAAUUUGCAACACCAACAAUCUUUUGUUUGUGUGUUGAUAUAUAGAGCCUGUUAUAAACAGGAUAUAUGCCUCUCCUCUUAAGGGUUACUUUGUUUUUUAAAUUCAUUCAAAUCCACCAACAAACUACUAGACGGGUAUUAAAUUAAAAACCACAAGAACUCUAUUGUUAACUCAAACCGCAUCGGAAAAGGGAGUU